rnacentral:ncRNA from 1 species
GUCAGCUGAAAUAUAUUUUUGAUCUACUGUCACGCAGGGGGCUUGUUCCGUGAGGAACAGCGCAAGAGUUGAUUAGGGGGCUUUAAAAACAUGGAGAAAAACAUGAAAGAAAGGCAGAAGUUAGAUAGGAGAGAUACAUACACACCCACGGAUGCUCCACAAGUCCGUGGCAACUGUGAUCAUGCAUUAAACAGAGAGGAAACUCUCAGUGUGCAUGGUUUAAAAACCCCUUCUAACAACCCCGAUGUGGACAUACAGUCAGGCAUGACU